rnacentral:rRNA from 1 species
CCACACCUAAAAAAUCUUUCCACGUGAAUUGUUUGUCGUUGUUUGGGCUUCGCCUGCGCGCUUUGUUUCGUUCUGUUUUUGUUCGGACGAGGUGCAACGGCUUGAGGCCAUCAGAGCGUUUUAUUUGUGCUUUUGUACGAGUAAUCGCUCUUUUUUGUAAACCCCUUUUUUUUUAACAUGAAAACUGAUUUAUACUGUGGGGACGAAAGUCUCUGCUUUUAACUAGAUAGCAACUUUCAGCAGUGGAUGUCUAGGCUCGCACAUCGAUGAAGAACGCUGCGAACUGCGAUACGUAAUGCGAAUUGCAGGAUUCAGUGAGUCAUCGAAAUUUUGAACGCAUAUUGCACUUUCGGGUUUUGCCUGGAAGUAUGUCUGUAUCAGUGUCCGUACACUAAACUUGCCUUUCUUGCGUCGUGUAGUCGUCGCUUGGAACGAGCAGAUGUGAAGUGUCUUGCGUUGUUGUUUUCGUUUGACGGAAAUAGGCGUGCAAGUCCUUUUAAAAGUCGGACGUGUUUCUCUAUUGUGUGCUGUGGCAGCUUUGGUGGCGUGCGGGACGUUGUCUGUUGACGAGUCUGGCGACCUUUGGCGCUUGCAUUUGCAGGGAUUCUCUCGAUUGGCGGUAUGUUAGGCUUCGGCUUUGACAAUGCAGCUUAUUGGGUGUAUUCUUGUGGCUGGUGCUGUUAUGGGGUGAACCGGAUGGUCGGUGGGCUGUUUUGUUUUGCGUGCUUUUGAAUCUGAAGUUUGUUGCGGCGUGCUUUGGGGCGGUCACCAUUUUGGGAAAUGUUGUGUUUKUUUUGUUUUCUUUGAUUACAUUCGUAAAAAAAGAAAAGAAAAAGAAAAAAGAAAAGCAUCUCAAUUGGACCUGAUAUCAGACAAG